GACGAACGCUGGCGGCGUGCCUAGUACAUGCAAGUAGAACGCUGAAGGAGGAGCUUGCUUCUCCGGAUGAGUUGCGAACGGGUGAGUAACGCGUAGGUAACCUGCCUGGUAGCGGGGGAUAACUAUUGGAAACGAUAGCUAAUACCGCAUAAGAGUAGAUGUUGCAUGACAUUUGCUUAAAAGGUGCAAUUGCAUCACUACCAGAUGGACCUGCGUUGUAUUAGCUAGUUGGUGGGGUAACGGCUUACCAAGGCGACGAUACAUAGCCGACCUGAGAGGGUGAUCGGCCACACUGGGACUGAGACACGGCCCAGACUCCUACGGGAGGCAGCAGUAGGGAAUCUUCGGCAAUGGACGGAAGUCUGACCGAGCAACGCCGCGUGAGUGAAGAAGGUUUUCGGAUCGUAAAGCUCUGUUGUAAGAGAAGAACGAGUGUGAGAGUGGAAAGUUCACACUGUGACGGUAUCUUACCAGAAAGGGACGGCUAACUACGUG
rnacentral:rRNA from 1 species